rnacentral:tRNA from 1 species
GCCCGGGUGGUGAAAUUGGUAGACGCAGCGGACUUAAAAUCCGCGGCCCUGAAAGGGGCGUAGGGGUUCGAUUCCCCUCCCGGGCACCA